AGAGCGAACGCUGGCGGCAGGCUUAACACAUGCAAGUCGAACGGAUCCUUCGGGAUUAGUGACGGACGGGUGAGUAACACGUGGGAACGUGCCUUUAGGUUCGGAACAACACAGGGAAACUUGUGCUAAUACCGGAUGUGCCCUUCGGGGGAAAGAUUUAUCGCCUUUAGAGCGGCCCGCGUCUGAUUAGCUUGUUGGUGAGGUAAAGGCUCACCAAGGCUACGAUCAGUAGCUGGUCUGAGAGGAUGGCCAGCCACAUUGGGACUGAGACACGGCCCAAACUCCUACGGGAGGCAGCAGUGGGGAAUCUUGCGCAAUGGGGGAAACCCUGACGCAGCCAUGCCGCGUGGAUGAUGAAGGUCUUAGGAUUGUAAAAUCCUUUCAGCGGGGACGAUAAUGACGGUACCCGCAGGAAGAAGCCCCGGCUAACUUCGUGCCAGCAGCCGC
rnacentral:rRNA from 1 species